UUUGACUAUUUGACGUAAUAGUGUCAUAACGAGCUGUGAUUGGCUUUAAAAUCGUUUUCCUCAUGGCACUAGAAUACAUAAAAGAAACGAAAUUUUUAGUAUUUAGAAAGUACAGUUGUUCGACAGAUAUUAAGACGGUAAGAGAAGUAUUCUUUAAUUAAUGAUAUUUUAGUUGAGUAAAGCUGCAUACUAUUAGUUACAUAGUGUGCUAGUGACCGGAUACGGUAUAUAUGGGGUGAGAGCGAAGCUCAAACCCUCAUAUGGAAUUUACUGACCCCUUAUACCGUAUUACGUCAUUAGAACACUAUGUAACAAAUUUAUCUUACUGACUAUUUUAACGUAUACAAUUUAGACUAGUGACCUAUCAAAAUGAGCAAGUCUUCAAUACAUUUAGCAUUAACAUGAUUAAGAAACUACUUCCUUUGAUCCUACAAAAACAGAUGCCAACAAUGACAACUUCUUAGAUUUAAAUGUGUUUUAUGAAUUUAUUUCACUUUAUCAUCACUUUCUUCGUCUGUUGAAACCUUUAAGACUUUUUUCUCAGUACUGUUUUGUUUUUCGAAAGGGACGAAACCACUACUACUAGCCGUGUAUGACAUACACCCCGCCUCCUUAUUACCUUAUAUGGAAUAUAAAGGGACGUAACUCCACUACUAACCGUGUAUGAAAUAAGCCCCGCCUCCAAUCUAAUCUAAUAUUGAAUAUAAACGGUUUCCACGAGGACGCUUUUAACCAAUCAUAUUCCUAGAAAUGUAUAGGAGGUAAGAUAAACUAUUAUAUUAUAAGUUUACACAUUUUAUAUAAAAAUCAUUUUUAGAUGAUUGAUAAUAUAAAAGUAAAGUAUAGAACUGUAAUAUUUAACAUUAGUUCUUUUUAUAUAUCGAGACAUUUUAUUUACAAAUAUUUAUUAAAUCGUGUUAUAACAGUUGUAAACUUUUCUUUUAUCUAGAUGACUAUGUUUAUUGUUUGGUUUGCGGUACUAGGAGUCACUGGAGCUUACAAGUGUAUGGAUCCCCCAGAAAUGCAUUGGCCUGAUAAGGUCAGAAUAUGUGAUGGGGAAUUUGGAAAUAGUCCUGGAUGUAAUGAUGACUAUACAAUCCCAUAUAACCAGUAGGUACAUCCUUGAAUCAGAAAUGUUCUAGGUUUUCUGACAAGUAUUAUGCAUCGUUCUUAAGUCAAAAUUUGAAAAUUGCCCUUGAAUGAAUUUUACAAGAUAUAAUGAGUUAACACAGUAAAUUUAUGUAGCAACAGUCGCUUUCUAAUUUUAUAUGACUAUACGAAUAUUAGAUUUUUACAUCAAUUUCGAUGAGGUUUAUUGUCUAAUUGUUUGUAAUAAAGAAUUUGCUCAACUUUUUAUUUUAUUAAUCGCAUCGUAUGCAUUUAAUUUUCAUUUGUGUCUAUUUUCAGUAAUCACAUAGAAAGCGCACUUCAAGCUGACAGAGAUCUUCUAUCCUUCGUUGAGGAUUCUUGUAAAAUAUACUCUCCAGAACUUCCCCUUGAAUAUGAGUAAGUAUUUAUUAAUACCUACAAGUAAUUAUAAUGACAUCUGCCAUUAUUGAAGGGAUAAAUAUGGUGUAAUGAGGUCGUGUGUUAUGUGUUGCUAUCUGAAUGUUCCAAAUUCUUAAAAAAGGAUAACCAACUUUCUUAAGAUUUAACAAAUCAUCAAUGGAAUGUAUUUAUCAAUUUCAUCCGUCCGAAUCGAUCACCUUGCUUUAAUUUCAUUGAGAGCGCACAAACAAAAUAUUGAAAACCAAAAAUGUAUAGAUAAAGUUACAACAUUUUAUCGCUACGUGUAUUAUUUCAACAGUCAGGUUGAGAAAUGACCUGGACGGCCUGGGUAUUAUAAUUCUUAAGAAAAAUAUAGUCUUUAAGUUUUCCUUUGAGCAAAAUUUAUAUGAUUUCCCUCCCUUUUUAGACAAUGUCCAAUUGAUGGCGGUGAUCUUGGAAAAACGCUUGGCAGAUGUGAAAAGGUUUGUGAUGGCAAUUAUGUUAAUGUAACAGCCGUGAACGUGCAAAUGUUGGACGAAAAAACAAAAAACUUUAGAUGGAGCAAAUGCUAUGUUAUACGUCCAUGGGAACAGAAAGUUUACUACAUGAAGUGCAAGUAAGUAAUAAUGUUUCACAAAGCUGAUUUGUUCUCAUAUGUUUUUCAAAAUUUUCAAUUAUCAUCAUUGUAGUAGUGGUAGUACCAAAAGACAAACUUGUUCACAUAGAUAUAAGAAGUUGUUGUAUGAGUGCCAAUGAGACAACUCUCCAUCCAAGUCACAAUUUAUAAAAGUCAACCAUUAGUGGUCAAAGUACGGUCUUGAACACAUUAGCUUACAACGAGAAAUAGUUUCUACUACUUUAGUUGUUAUUUUAUAAACGUUUAUCCCAAUUUACUUAUUGGCAAAUGAAGAGGCUUUAUAAAUAUUUUGAUAUGAGCGUCACUGAUGAGUCUUAUGUAGACGAAACGCGCGUCUGGCGUACUAAAUUAUAAUCCUGGUACCUUUGAUAACUAUCAUGCUCAUCUUCUUCAAUUCUUUUGUAUAUCUGAUCAAAAUUGAAGAUUAAAAGCUUGCUUAUCUAAAUACACCAAAUAACUUAUGAUUUAUUUUCUUAUUGCAGAAAUGAUAAACCUACUUUUGCAAGCAGUACUAGUUCAUUUAAGUGUGUUCCAGACAACUUUAUCAGACGUAGGGUUGCCGUAUUCUGUCCAGAAUUUAAAGAGCAUCAAUGUCAAAAAGUGGACAUUGAAUUACCCACUAACUGUGCUGCAAGCCGAUUUGAAUGUGUCAAACCACAGGAAACAAGGAAGCAACAAGUAGACAGCUUUUUAGAUUCAUUGUUUUUGUAGUUUUCUCUAAACUACAGAAAUGUAUCCACACGAUGUGAUGUGGCUCAAUUUAAUGUUAUCAGCAAAGGCAACAAGGCAGGAAGAAAUAGAUAACAUGCUUUAAAUGUGAACCUCACAGAUUUGGAAAGUUUUGAUUUCCUUAUUUUAAAUCCAUGCAGACUGUGAUAUUUUGUUGUUUUUUUGUAAUAUUGUUCAUUUCAUCAUACAUUAUGCCAUGUUCUUGUAAUAGUGACUUAUGUUUAAAUAAAACACUUACUUUAU
rnacentral:lncRNA from 1 species